rnacentral:lncRNA from 1 species
GUCCUACUUCGACAACGGGGAGAGCUUCGGGCCCGACAGCGACGACAACGGCGACGAGGCCGUGUACUGACCCCAGAGGGGCACUGAACCCCAAAAAUGGGCACUGAACCCCAAAAACGGGCACUGACCCCAAAGGGGCACUGAAACGGGUACUGACCCCGAAAGGGGCACUGCACCCCAAAAUGGGCACUGAACCCAAAAUGGGCGCCCCAAAAUGGGUACUGACCCCAAAAUGGGCACCCCAAAAAUGGGUACUGACCCCAAAGGGGCACUGAACCCCGAAAACGGGCACUGACCCCCAAAACUGGGCACCCCAAAAAUGGGCACUGACCCCAAAAUGGGCACCCCAAAAUGGGUACUGACCCCAGAGGGGCACUGAACCCCAAAAAUGGGCACUGAACCCCAAAAAAUGGGUACUGACCCUGAAAGGGGCACUGACCCCCAAAAAUGGGUACUGACCCCAAAAUGGGCACCCCAAAAUGGGUACUGACCCCAGAGGGGCACUGAACCCCAAAAAUGGGUACUGACCCCAAAAACGGGCACCCCAAAAGGGGUACUGACCCCAAAAGGGGCACUGAACCCCAAAAAUGGGCACCCCAAAAGGGGUACUGACCCCGAAAGGGGCACUGAACCCCAAAAUUGGGCACCCCGAAAUGGGUACUGACCCCAAAAGGGGCACUGACCCCAAAACUGGCACUGACCCCAAAAAUGGGCACCCCGAAAUGGGUACUGACCCCAAAAUGAGCACCCCGACAGGGGGCACACCCUAUUGGGGUCCCUGUUCCUCCCCUUGGGGACAUUGGGGUGACAUUGGGGUCCCCUUGGGGACAUUGGGGUGACAUUGGGGUCCCCUUGGGGACACUGAGGUGACAUUGGGGUCCCCUUGGGGACAUUGGGGUGCAUUGGGGUCCCUGUUACCCCUUGGGGACAUUGGGGUCCCCCUUGUCCUGUCAUUCCCUUUGUCACCACCAGGUGGCGCCGGCGCUCCAGGCCCGGGGUGGGGGGGGCAGAACCCCCUCAAAUUUUGGGGCUUUUUUUGGGUGAAUUUUGUGUGAAUUUUAAAAUAUUUUUGGUAUUUCUGGCUCAGCUUUUGGUGUUUUUUAGCACGGGGGGGUUGGAUAAGGGGGUUACCAGAGGCUAAGAGGAAUUAA